rnacentral:rRNA from 1 species
CGGAUCAGCUCGGGUACUCCGAAUGCANCUAGAUUUAAGUUUGAUCAUGGCUCAGAAUCAACGCUGGUCGGCGUGCCUAACACAUGCAAGUCGAACGCGCAAAGUCCCGACAAGGGAUCACGUAGAGUGGCAAACGGGUGAGUAACGGCGUGGAGCGACUCUACACAUCCUGAAGUUGGGGCGAAUAAGCCGUAUCCGCAGAAGGGAGGGCUAAAUACCCGCAAUUGAACACUCCUCNGUGCCUAUUGGGAGUACUACCGAGAAAAGUCGAAAGUCUCUGCGGGGAAAUCGUCGAAAGAAACCCUGNACGGCCUAUUGCGGCAAGCAAGCGGUGGCCCAGUUCAUGAGUCCNGGACUUAGGCCUAAAGCUAUGGGGUUGGGCGGGGUAAACUGUGGCAGUUCCACACCAAAAGUGCGCUUCCACAGGAAUACGGGGGNGUAAUUCCCCUGGGGACNCCCUUUGGCAAANACAACGCNGGGGACCGGUGGAAACCGGUGGACACCAGUAAACCCAAACCGUUGGGGAGCACAAACCCUUUGGAAAGGGCAAAAACACAG